rnacentral:rRNA from 2 species
UUGACCUCGAAUCAGGUAGGAAUACCCGCUGAACUUAAGCAUAUCAAUAAGCGGAGGAAAAGAAACCAACCGGGAUUACCUCAGUAACGGCGAGUGAAGCGGUAACAGCUCAAAUUUGAAAUCUGGCUCCUUCGGAGUCCGAGUUGUAAUUUGUAGAAGAUGCUUUGGGUUGUGGGUUCGGCCUAAGUUCCUUGGAACAGGACGUCAUAGAGGGUGAGAAUCCCGUAUGUGGCCGAGGCCUGCGCCUAUGUAAAGCUCUUUCGACGAGUCGAGUUGUUUGGGAAUGCAGCUCAAAAUGGGUGGUAAAUUUCAUCUAAAGCUAAAUAUGGGCCAGAGACCGAUAGCGCACAAGUAGAGUGAUCGAAAGAUGAAAAGCACUUUGGAAAGAGAGUUAAACAGUACGUGAAAUUGUUGAAAGGGAAGCGCUUGCAACCAGACUUGGGCGCUGCCGAUCACCCCGAGUUCUCUCAGGUGCACUCGACAGCGCACAGGCCAGCAUCGGUUCGGAUGGUUGGAUAAAGGCCGUAGGAACGUAGCUCCCUUUGGGGAGUGUUAUAGCCUACGGUGCCAUGCAGCCCAACCGGACCGAGGACCGCGCCUUCGGGCUAGGAUGCUGGCGUAAUGGUUGUAAGCGACCCGUCUUGAAACACGGACCAAGGAGUCUAACAUCUAUGCGAGUGUUUGGGCGU